CAGCAGGCAAAGUGCACAGCGCAAAGGGCAAGCAUCGCAGCCAGAUGUGGCCAGGAUGUUGGAAUUAUUGGACAGGAAUUCAAAACAGCUGUGAUGAAUAUAUUAAGGGAUUUCAUGGGAAGACUGGACAAUAUGCAAGAAGAUAUGGGUGAGAGAGAUUGGGAAAUUCUAAGAAAGAAUCACCACAGAAAUCCCAGAAAUCAAAAGCCCUGUGAUGGAAAUGAAGAAUGCCUCUGAUGGUUCAUUAUCACACUGGGAUCUGGCUGAGGAAGAAUCAGUGGACUUGAAUAUAAAUCAAUAGAAACUUCCCUCACUGCAAAGCAAAGAGAAAAGAUGGAGCAGAACACACAAGAGAUGUGGAAUAACAGCAAAAGAAGUCUCUAUGUCAAAUGAGCCUCAAAAUAGUAUUCUGUGAAGAUUGUCACUCCAUCAGACAGCCAGAGUUGUCACUUGAAUACAGAUGAUCAAAUUAGCAAUUGGAUGACAAGGCUAUUGUUGAAGUGAGUCCUCUCAUCAUGGCCGGAGGGUGGAGAGAGCAGCUUUGACAGCACCGGCAAUGCAGCUGGUGUGUCCAUUUACCUGCACCCAUGCAGCAGCAGCUGGGCUACAAUUGUUCUCCGUUUUCCCUGGCGCUUUUCAGCAUCUCAGGCUCCUGGGCCAAGUGUGUGUUUGACUCUUUCACAAGGGGCCAUGGCUUCUGCAAGACAUCCUCAUCACCAAAGUCAGGGCAACAGGACUGGAUGCAGACCUCAGCCCAUCCACCUUGGGUUCCAUUUCAUGCGGCCGGGCUCAGCCUCCUGUGAUCUUCCCUCCUGACUGCCUAUCUGUGGACUUCAAGGCCCAGCAUCAGACCAGGAGACAACCUUGGAGAAACUGUUUAGCCAGCCUCCAAAACUGUGUAAGCCAACACACAGGUAGGUACACACACACUAAAGCACACAUCCACACACAGACAUGCACACACAUAUUUCUCUUGUGGUUCUGCUUCUCUGCUUGAACUCAACUGGUGCAGAUCAUGGCUGCAGAAGAAUAGCAUCCUGAGGUUGUUCUCUGAAUUAGCUCUGGGAUUUCUAAACUUGGUUCUCUAAUCUGACGAGAUUAAAGGCACUGACGAUCCUAUUUCCCAUGGUAGCACAUACACUGCUAGCAAGAGUUCCUUAAACUGCCCCCGUUAGACACCUGCAAUCAGGAAGGUAAAUCAUCAAAGGCGUGGCGGGCACGGCCACCACGAUGGACAGCACAUCCAGGGUAGAGAUGGGAGUGGUUUGUCUCACAGGAAGUUGGUGUGGGCUACUAAAUCAGAAGCUGCACAGUCCCCUCCCUAGGUUUUCACCUGAUCUGCAGAACAAAAGGCUUUAGGUUUAGUGACUAGAACUCUGAUUUCAGUCCCUCUAAGGAGUCUCAGAUUCUCACUGUAUUCCCAGACAGAAGCCAGUGCAUAGACCCAGAGUCCUUGGUCACAGGGAAAAUUGGGACAUGGAGCAGAUCCCCGCACACACUUCAUGCCAGCCCACACUGGCAGUUCCCAGGAGUUUGAGGAGUCAUGGUGAAGGGCACUCUGGCUAUCUGGGUCAGACGUGAAUCUAGCCGGGGCCAUUGAAGCUUCAUACGCACCCCAGAAUGGGCAGGCUGCUCCUUCCACAGCGCACAGCCCUGUGCUCGCUAAUGAGGGCUUGGCCGCCAGAUGUGAAGCCUACAAUGGCAAAUGCGGGGGGAGCCUGCUCUAUUGCCCAUGUAGGCCUGGCCUGACUAACAGGGGCCCUCUGCACUCAUCCGACGUCCCCUGACUUGUGAGCACUGCUGAGAGUGUUUAUGGACCUCCAGGACCAAGAGUCAUGUCAGCGUGAUGACCAAUGGCCCGGGAGGCUCUGCUUCUAUCUCCCUUGGGAGAACAGAGAGAAUUCAGCUCAAUCAGGGGAAGCAAUGUGCUAGAGAAGGUGAAAAAAAAGCAAACACAAUAAAAAGGCUUCUUAUAAACAUAAAGUACGUUUAUUAUAAAAUCCUUAAAAAUACUUAGAAUGUUUCUCCCAGGAGGUGGCACAAACAAGAACCAAGGAGUGACCAUGUGUCAGGCUCACACCUCACUCAUGCAAGUAUAUAAGGUACAAGAGGAUGCACAUCUGCACACUUCCCUCACUAACACACUCCUCUGACCUCUCCAUCUCCAACACCAGAACCAUGAGCUGCUGUGGCUGUUCCGGAGGCUGUGGCUCCAGCUGUGGGGGCU